GGGUCGAUGCCCGAGCGGUUAAUGGGGACGGACUGUAAAUUCGUUGAUGGUAUUUCUACGCUGGUUCAAAUCCAGCUCGGCCAA
rnacentral:tRNA from 1 species